ensembl:misc_RNA Metazoa_SRP Metazoan signal recognition particle RNA
GCCGGGCGUGGUGGUGCAUGCCUGUAAUCCCAGCACUUUUGGAGGCAGAGGUGGGUGGAUCACUUGAGGUCAGGAGUUCGAGACCAGCCUGACCAACAUGGUGAAAACACAUCUCUA